CCAGAGGCCGUGCUGAGGAUGUGGCUGUCUGUUCCUCCCCUGGGGAUGCCGUUGACUGCACCCGCCUCACGCUUGCAUGGGUUGUCUCUGCUCGGCCUCGCUCUCCUUGCGGCAUAGGGGUGAAAAGGAACAGAUGGAGCGCUUACUGGCUGUGGACAGAAGCUGCUGCGGCUGAAGCUGGAGAGGCCAGAGAAAGGUAAAGAAGAAGAAAUCAAAGGCCAUCCAGCCGGCAGCUGCCUCCCACUGCAGGCAAGAGAAAGCCUGCCUCUCUGGGUGAGGAAGGAUCCUUCUUCAUAGUCCGCAGCAGGUCAGACUGCCAACGUGCGCCGCAGGGUCUGUGGAGAACAGCUAAGUGACCGGAGUUACAGAAGAGGAGGGGAGGAGAGCAGGAGAAAGAAACAUCUGAACUGGCAAAUUCUCCCAGCAGCGCUGAGAGCGAGAGCUGCAUGCGCAAGGCUACAUGUCUAGGAAGCUUCGUCUUUGUAAGAGCUGUAAGACAGCCAUGUAUUCUCUUCGGUGGAGGACAGCCAAGCAACCGGAGUUUCAGAAGAGGAAGGGAAGAGCGCAGGAGAAAGAAGCGUCUGAACUAGCAAAUUCUUCUGGCAGCACUGAGAGCGAGAGC